rnacentral:misc_RNA from 1 species
GAAAUGCGAUAAGUAAUAUGAAUUGCAGAUUUUCGUGAAUCAUCGAAUCUUUGAACGCACAUUGCGCCCUCUGGUAUUCCAGAGGGCAUGCCUGUUUGAGCGUCAUUUCUCUCUCAAACCCCCGGGUUUGGUAUUGAGUGAUACUCUUAGUCGGACUAGGCGUUUGCUUGAAAAGUAUUGGCAUGGGUAGUACUAGAUAGUGCUGUCGACCUCUCAAUGUAUUAGGUUUAUCCAACUCGUUGAAUGGUGUGGCGGGAUAUUUCUGGUAUUGUUGGCCCGGCCUUACAACAACCAAACAAGUUUGACCUCAAAUCAGGUAGGAAUACCCGCUGAACUUAAGC